rnacentral:rRNA from 1 species
GAUGAACGCUGACAGAAUGCUUAACACAUGCAAGUCAACUGUGGCGGACGGGUGAGUAACGCGUAAAGAACUUGCCUCACGGAUAGGGACAACAUUUGGAAACGAAUGCUAAUACCUGAUACUGUGAGAGAGCUUUUCGUCCCAUUAGCUAGUUGGAGAGGUAACGGCUUACCAAGGCGAUGAUGGGUAGCCGGCCUGAGAGGGUGAUCGGCCACAAGGGGACUGAGACACGGCCCUUACUCCAACGGGAGGCGGCAGUGGGGACUAUUGGACAAUGGACCAAAGUCUGAUCCAGCAAUUCUGUGUGAACGAUGAGGUUUUCGGAGUGUAAAGUGCUUCAGUUGGGAAGCGUUACCAACAGAAGAAGUGACGGCUAAAUACGUGCCAGCAGCCGCGGUAAUAC